AGUUGUCGAGCUUUAACCACAAGUUCGUGUAUAUAUAUAUAUAUAUAUAUAUAUAUAUAUAUAUAUAUAUAUAUAUAUAUAUAUAUAUAUAUAUAUAUAUAUAUAUAUAUAUAUAUAUAUACACGAACUUGUGGUUAAAGCUCGACAACU